rnacentral:lncRNA from 1 species
GAGACAUGUUAUGACAUGAGAUGAGAUUAUGUGAUAUGAGAUUUGAGCAUGCAUGAGAUGAGAUAGUAAGACCAGGUGAGGCACCGCCUCCUUGGCAAUCUAUUACCGGUAAGCGGUAAGAGAAGGCCAGUGAGGCCGUAGUGCCUUGGCCUAAGUAAGAGAAAAGAGCAGACCAGGUGAGACUCUGUCUCCUUGGCGCAGUCGGACUGUAAGAGUAGACCAGGAGAGGCGCCGCCUCCUUGGCAUAGUUGGACUUGAUGUGUGAUACUAUGUUUGAGAGACAGUCCUGAGGAGCCUCGUUGGGGGCCAGACAUCCUCUGGAUGUACUGAGGGUUAGUGGUGACAAUUCCAUCCUUGAUGUGUUUAGUUGUGAUGUGUUGCAUACCAUGAUAGCAUGAGUUUUAAAUGACUGUUUUUACUGUUCCUCCUCACUAGGCUAUAGAGCUCAUCCCUCUCCCUUAACCCCAGUUUUGCAGGGCUAGAGAUAGCCAGGAGGAGUCAGUCUCAGAAGAGUGCCAGUUAUGGUUAUUGCUUGUGUAAUAGUAUCAUGGACAUGAUGUAAAAUAAAAGAGAUGUAUGUCGAAUGAUGUAAUAGAUAGUAAGUCAAUGUGUUUAUGGUUAGUAUGUGCUAUGCCCAGUGUAUGGAUAAUCCUAGAUGUGUGUAUGGAUCCUGUUUUACGUUUCUUGAUGAGAAAUGUGCGGAAUCAGGCUUAAUGUAUGUAUUGUUUGAUGAGAUUCCAGUGAAAGUAAUUUGGGAAGAAAGGGUUUCAUUCCCUUGACCCACAGCGAGCAGGAUCACUGGUAUAGGCUCUAAGGGUUAUUUCAGAUUUGUAUAUCUGAAUGUUAGUAGUUAAGCCUGAUAGUUCUACAGGAUUGUUGUUUACUUUUGAUCAUGUAUGGGAUUUAUCAGGUACACAAUAUAUUUAGUAGGCUUGCUACGGGUCUCGACGGCCUUAUGCCGAUCUGGAUCCUAGUGCCAGUGAUGGUUCGGACCGUUACAAAGGGGUACCGGUUUCCGGGCUGUUACAGAUUGGUAUCAGAGCAUAGGGCCUCUAGAGUACGAUGUGUUGGGCAAAGCUGCUUAAAGAUUAGAGUUGUUUCACAUCGGAAAGAGGUUGUGUUAGAAGGGCAAGCACAAUAAAAGAAAUCAUGUCCACUAGGAUAAGAUAUAAGUUUUGCAUGAUGAUGUGUGAUGCCAUGCCAUGAUUUAUGCAUGUACAAUCUUGUUAUGUGAUAUGUGUGUUGUAGGUUCAUGUAUUUCUAUAUGAACCGCAUGAUUGCUAAUGCCUGUAUGUUUGUGUGUUGUUUUCCAGAGAGGUAGGAUGCGAGGAGCUCGUCGAUCUGUACGAUUGACUGGAACUCCACCAGAGUGUAAGAGCAUGGAUGUCCAAUCCCCUGAAUCAAGCAGAGAAGGUACAUCAAGGGACCCUAGAAGGUCUUUUGAGGAGACUAGAAGAGGAUUUGUUCAGGGCGGUGUGUCAGUGGAUAUCAGGGAACUAGAGGAGGAUGACCAGAGGAGAGAUGAUAGUUUGGGCAUGGGUAUGUCAGGCCAGGAUAUGGGAGAGUUUCAAGGAGGCACUCAGGCCUCGGGUUUUGUACCACCUCAGUAUCCGCCCUACCCACAAGGGCUAGGGUAUCCGAUGGGAGGUACCUCAGAUUUCUGCUAUCACCCAUAUCCUACCUUUAUGCCCUAUCCUCCCUAUUACCCGCCAUAUCCAUAGUAUCCUAUGUAUCCACCCUCAUCCUAUUUCCCAGGUCCAGCAAACCCUAGCCCAGGAAAUGUUGCACCUCUUCCUUCAUCAGUAGAACCAGUAGUUUCGGAUGUUCAAACAUCCAAACCUAGCUCAUCGGUUGAGGGUAAGGUAAAGAUGAUAGAUUACCUGAAGUUAGAUGGCCCCAGGUUUGAAACAGGUGAUGAUCCUUUUGAGUAUCUCAAAACGGUGAAAAUGAUAACAGAUGAGCUAGGAGUAAGUGAUAGUAGAGCCAUUCAGAUGGCAGGGUUCACAUUGAAAUGCAGGAAAGCAAGAGAAUGGUUCAACAACUAUGUGGACCCAAGGCUGGAGAGCUUAUCCUGGGAUCAGUUUGCUGAUGAAUUUGCAGGAUGGGCUUUUCCAGAAAGUUCAAGGGAAUCGAAGAUGAUCGAGUUUGAACAACUAAGGCAGACAAAAGAGAUGCGUAUAGAUGAGUACACAGAUAAGUUCCUUGAGUUGCUCCAGUACGUGGGGCAAGUAUAUGAUACAGAUCAGAAGAAAGCUAGGAGAUAUACCGUGAGAUUGCAUCCUAGGUAUUCUUCCUUGAUCUUAGCUGCAGAGAGAGAGAAGUUCCACUCUAUAGUGGAUGCAGCUAGAAAGAUGGAGGCUAAUGCCAUCAUUGAAGGGUCAGUUAAACCACAGGUGGCACGAUCCUCAGAUUCUAAAACCCCAGGAACAGAAGAUAUUGAUCUUUUCCCUUCGAGUGAGGUUGCUGCAAAGAGCAAAAAGAAAGUCAGAGGCCUUAAAGGGUCAAAGAAGAGGGCGUUCUGGAAUAGAGUAAAGUCUAGUAUGGGUUUAAGCGAAGGCUCGAGCUCUGGUUGGGAUAGUUCUCGAUCUACGAGGUGCGGUAGGCUACACAAAGGAGUCUGUCGGAUUGGGACAACAGCAUGUUUUAGGUGCGGACAGGAAGGGCACAUAGCACGAGAGUGUUCCACUAGGACCUUGUCAGCACAGUCCUUGCAGACAGCUUCAGAUAGUAUCGUUCAACCAAAAGCUCCAACCUCAGUGCAGGGCAGAGGCAGAGGAAGAGGGGUAGUCCCUUCUUCAGCAGGUUUCCGCGAGGAAGAUCAAUUGGCUUCGGCACAGAUCUUCACUAUGACCCAGCAGGAGGCUGACACAUCGGACAUGGUGGUGACAGGUACUUGCACUUUUCUAUGUUCGAAUGUGUACGUUUUAGUGGACCCUGAUGUAUCUCUUUCCUUGUUGCUUUGAGAGCUGUAGAUAGAGGGGAUUUGAUAACUUCUGGGCUUAGAGUGUUUUCUUUGGGUCAAUUGGCCCAAGUGUGAUCCAUCCGUAACAGAGUCAGUCAGUUCAGUUCAGAGUUUGUGGUGAGUAGAUGCCUUCCAGCUGUUCCAGUGAUUCUAGAUUUGACUGUGUGAUGUCGUUCUAGCAGUGGAUUGGCUAGCUACUCAGAGUACUGCCUGUGUCUUUAGAGACAAGGUAGGAGAGUUUAGAGACCAGGAUGGAUCAGAGGUAGACCUGAGAGGGGAUAGUGUAGCAUACCCAGAAAUUUGAUAUCAGCCCUACAGGCUCGUGAUUUCUUUAGGAAAGGUAGUCAGGGGUUUCUUGCUCUUGAUAGAGAGCAUAGUAGUCAGGUCAGGGAACCAGCCUCAAUGCCCGUAAGCAGAGAGAGAGAAAGAGUUAUAGAUGUUUUCCCAGACAGUUCGCAGGUUUACCAUAGUUGGAACAAAAUAGAGCUUGGAAGUCAAGUGAAGAUGGAGACUAGGCUCAUCUUCACCUCUUCCUUUGAAAUGGUACCUGUAGAGUUUAAAAGAUGAAAAAGUCGUAAGAGCUAGAAGAAACAAUUGCAAAAGUUAAGAAAGUUGUUAGAACAGUUGUGAACUUGGUAAAUAAAGAUUUUAUCUGACAUAGUACCCCAUCCUGGAAUGUUCCAGUGUUGUUGUGGGAAAUGAAGGAUGAAACCUUGAGACUUUGUAACGACUGAGAGCAGUUGAGCAAGGUCACUACCAAGGGUAAGUGUUCCCAUGCAAGAUUAAUGCUCUAUGAAAACAGCGAGGAAGAGUUGAUUGGUUUCCACGAUAGAUCUGAGAUUCGGGAACCAUAUGUUGAGAGGUAGAGAAAAAAAAAAGUCAUUUUAGUAGAGAUAAAGAGAGAAAGACAAAGAUCAGAGUGCGCAGCAGAAGCAUAGAGUAGUCCAGAAAAAGCAGAGAAGCAUGCCCAUUAUCUACUGAGUGUUGUAGACUCUAAAAGAAAAUGGCAUAGAGGCCAAGUUCUGCAGUAUGAGUUUGAUUAAGGGGCAUGUCUGUUUGAAUCAUGGUGUGUCAGACCAUGAAUGUUGAGGGAAAUAGAAAGUUGAAGCUAUAGGUGAUAACCUAGACCCUCUAUGGUGACAUAGAUAAAGGACUUGGUGGGUCGACAAGUUACUAUAGGAAGUUCAUUUAGAAUUUUCUUAAAGUUGUUACUCCUAUGAUCAGAUUGUGUGAAGAGAAUCAGAGAAUAGGGUGAUCAGAGUAGUGUGAAUAAAGUGUAGAAAAGAACUAAAGAGAAGGGUGAUUUGUUGAGAAAAAGAAACUAACACUAAGAUACAUUGGACCCUUUGAAAUCCUGCAGAGGAUUGGGGAUGUAUCCCAUUAGUUAGAUCCCUUUGGUUUUCCUUAUUUCUUAAUUCGAGUGUGGUUCCUUUGCACCAGAGGUCGAGAUCUCAAGAAAUCUCACUAGCCUAGAGUAGUUUGAGUGGCAAAGGAACAUAAAUUGAAUUUCCCCAUACACGAUCGAAGAAGGAUAGUUGAAUCCAAAGCAAAGGGAAAGUCAGUAGUCAGAAGAAAACAUCAGGUCGGCUGUGUGUCGACAGGAAUGAUAAGCAGUCAGUGUAGAGUGUGAACACAGCUCAAAACGGGAAGAGUUAAGAAAGUCAGGUAGUGAUUGUACAAAACCAGGAGUUUUACUCCAAUAUCUGUGUCUCUUCUCAGAGAGAGGUUUUAGGCUUUCCUCGAUUGCUUGCUUGCAUGUUUAUUUGCUUGAACAUUCGUGGACGAAUGUUCUUAAAGGGGGGAAGAAUGUAAUACCCGGCUAGAUCAGACACCGGAAUUCUUACCGUCCGGUGGAAUUCGAGGAUGUUAGAGGUUUCUAGAAGGGUAAGAGAAAGGUUUUCUGAAAUGUUUUCAAGUAUUUUAAAGGGUUAGAGUGGAAUAGGAUUGAGUUUUGAAGAGAAAAGACCAAGGAGGAUUUGGCCAAGUUCGGCCGCCGAAAGUGCCUUACAUUCGGCUUCCGAAAGCUCAGGUUCGGCCGCCGAACGUUGCAUGGUUUUGCAUGCAUUUUGGCCGCCGAAGCUGAAGCGGUCAGCUCCCUAUAUAAACGCCUCUAGUCGGUGAAAUGGAUAAGUGUUGCCUCCUUUUCACAAACUGAGGUGAAGCCACGUCCUCCAUGAGUCAUCUUCAUGGUUUUAUCAAAUCUUGUAAGGGUUGAUUGGUUUUCAUUUUGUUGUGAAGGUGUUAAGCUAAAAAGAGAAGUUUUGAGAUUUAAAGAGUUUGAAGGAGAGUUGUUCCAUAUUUUCAAGUUCAGAUCGUUCAUCUUCUUGAUUUCAAGAGGUAAGUGAAGAUCUUGAACUUCUUUUGAUGAUUUAUAGAGGUUUUAUGGAGUUUUGGGUAGAGUUGCAUGUUUAGGGUAAAAAGCAUGAUUUUGGUGUUUUGAGGUUGAAUGCUUGUAUAUGUGUUGUUGCGUGAUGUUUUUGUUGGGGUUGUAAGUUAGUUUUGGACCCCUUUGUGCAUAUACUUGAGUAUAUGUGUGUUGAGGAGUUGUGAUAUGCAUGUGGAAGUGUUGGAGUAGUUGGGGAGGCUUGUUUUCUGUCGUGGAUGAGUUCUGGAUGAACUCAGGUUCGGCAGCCGAAGGUACAUUCGACCACCGAACCCCUUGAGGAGGUGGCUUUGACUGCCUAACCCACCCCCAAGAGUUUUGAGGUUCGGCUCUGGAAGGGGGAUUCGGCCGCCGAAGGUGCCGCCGAAGGUUAGAGACUUUCGUCUCUGGAGUGUGUUUCAGCCCCCGAACCUUGCCCCCGAAAGGGUUCGGCUGCCGAAAGUGGAGAUUCGGCCGCCGAAGGUGCUUGAGUUUCGGCUCUGGAGAGGACAUUCGGCCGCCGAACCUGCCGCCGAAAGUGUUCUGUCCAGCCUUCUUUUGCAUGCUUUAUGUGAUUGUUUUAGAAUCUUUUAGGGGGUUUAUGGGAAGUUCUAAUGAGUUGUUAUUGAGCUAGUUUGGUCCCUCAUAUGAUGUCCACCUGUAUAGGAUCGGACCUGAGAGGCAGAGGUGACCAGCAGUGAGUUAGCUGAUUCAGAGUCAGUAGAGCACCAUCCAGAGGUGAGUGGAACGAAACUUAAUGUUUUUUUAAAUAUGAGAAAUGAUAUUUGUUUUUAGCAUGUUUCAUACAUCAUGACUAAUAUGAAUAUGCAAUAGGUUGAUUGCAUAGAAUCACGAAUAUGAUGCAUUGCAUUCUUUGAUGAACAUGAGAUGGAUGGAUAUUGGAUGAUCCUUCGCCCUUAAGAUGAGAUGAGAUUAUUUGAUAUGAGACAUGUUAUGACAUGAGAUGAGAUUAUGUGAUAUGAGAUUUGAGCAUGCAUGAGAUGAGAUAGUAAGACCAGGUGAGGCACCGCCUCCUUGGCAAUCUAUUAUCGGUAAGCGGUAAGAGAAGGCCAGUGAGGCCGUAGUGCCUUGGCCUAAGUAAGAGAAAAGAGCAGACCAGGUGAGACUCUGUCUCCUUGGCGCAGUCGGACUGUAAGAGUAGACUUGGAGAGGCGCCGCCUCCUUGGCAUAGUUGGACUUGAUGUGUGAUACUAUGUUUGAGAGACAGUCCUGAGGAGCCCCGUUGGGGGCCAGACAUCCUCUGGAUGUACUGAGGGUUAGUGGUGACAA